rnacentral:misc_RNA from 1 species
UGUUCGAGCGUCAUUAUCAACACUCAAGCUCAGCUUGGUAUUGGGACACGCCAGCAAUGGCUGUCCCUAAACCUAGUGGCGGCGCCGCUGGGCCUCGAGCGUAGUAUAUUCGUCGCUACGGGACCUGGUGCUGUGACGACCAACAACCACUACUUCUUAAGGUUGACCUCGGAUCAGGUAAGAAUACCCGCUGAACUUAA